rnacentral:rRNA from 1 species
UAGGGAAUCUUCCACAAUGGACGAAAGUCUGAUGGAGCAACGCCGCGUGAGUGAUGAAGGGUUUCGGCUCGUAAAACUCUGUUGUUGGAGAAGAACGGGUGUCAGAGUAACUGUUGACAUCGUGACGGUAUCCAACCAGAAAGCCACGGCUAACUACGUGCCAGCAGCCGCGGUAAUACGUAGGUGGCAAGCGUUGUCCGGAUUUAUUGGGCGUAAAGCGAGCGCAGGCGGUUUUUUAGGUCUGAUGUGAAAGCCUUCGGCUUAACCGGAGAAGUGCAUCGGAAACCGGGAGACUUGAGUGCAGAAGAGGACAGUGGAACUCCAUGUGUAGCGGUGAAAUGCGUAGAUAUAUGGAAGAACACCAGUGGCGAAGGCGGCUGUCUGGUCUGCAACUGACGCUGAGGCUCGAAAGCAUGGGUAGCGAACAGGAUUAGAUACCCUGGUAGUCCAUGCCGUAAACGAUGAGUGCUAAGUGUUGGAGGGUUUCCGCCCUUCAGUGCUGCAGCUAACGCAUUAAGCACUCCGCCUGGGGGAGUACGACCGC